CAUGGUACUUCUGCUGAGAACCAGCAGCCCUGAAAAAUGGGAGAAUGCACACCCCUGUUUGAGAAAGAACAGGGGGCGGCUUUU
ncrna:unclassified sequences dinG RNA